rnacentral:rRNA from 1 species
UCUUAGCUUGCUAAGGCCGAUGGCGACCGGCGCACGGGUGAGUAACACGUAUCCAACCUGCCGUCUACUCUUGGACAGCCUUCUGAAAGGAAGAUUAAUACAAGAUGGCAUCAUGAGUCCGCAUGUUCACAUGAUUAAAGGUAUUCCGGUAGACGAUGGGGAUGCGUUCCAUUAGAUAGUAGGCGGGGUAACGGCCCACCUAGUCUUCGAUGGAUAGGGGUUCUGAGAGGAAGGUCCCCCACAUUGGAACUGAGACACGGUCCAAACUCCUACGGGAGGCAGCAGUGAGGAAUAUUGGUCAAUGGGCGAGAGCCUGAACCAGCCAAGUAGCGUGAAGGAUGACUGCCCUAUGGGUUGUAAACUUCUUUUAUAAAGGAAUAAAGUCGGGUAUGGAUACCCGUUUGCAUGUACUUUAUGAAUAAGGAUCGGCUAACUCCGUGCCAGCAGCCGCGGUAAUACGGAGGAUCCGAGCGUUAUCCGGAUUUAUUGGGUUUAAAGGGAGUGUAGAUGGAUAUUUAAGUCAGUUGUGAAAGUUUGCGGCUCAACCGUAAAAUUGCAGUUGAUACUGGAUAUCUUGAGUGCAGUUGAGGCAGGCGGAAUUCGUGGUGUAGCGGUGAAAUGCUUAGAUAUCACGAAGAACUCCGAUUGCGAAGGCAGCCUG